AGUGAACGCUGGCGGUAGGCCUAACACAUGCAAGUCGAACGGCAGCACAGUAAGAGCUUGCUCUUACGGUUGGCGAGUGGCGGACGGGUGAGGAAUACAUCGGAAUCUACUUUUUCGUGGGGGAUAACGUAGGGAAACUGACGCUAAUACCGCAUACGACCUACGGGUGAAAGCAGAGGAUCUUCAGACCUUUCGCGAUUGAAUGAGCCGAUGUCGCAUUAGCUAGUUGGCGGGGUAAGGGCCCACCAAGGCGACGAUCCGUAGCUGGUCUGAGAGGAUGAUCAGCCACACUGGAACUGAGACACGGUCCAGACUCCUACGGGAGGCAGCAGUGGGGAAUAUUGGACAAUGGGCGCAAGCCUGAUCCAGCCAUACCGCGUGGGUGAAGAAGGCCUUCGGGUUGUAAAGCCCUGUUGUUGGGAAAGAAAAGCAGCAGGUUAAUCCCCCGCUGUUCUGACGGUACCUAAAGAAUAAGCACCGGCUAACUUCGUG
rnacentral:rRNA from 1 species